AAACGCAAGACGGAAUAUUUAACGUGUUUUUUGUUGAUCAUCUGAGUUUUCGAUAUUUCGUGACUGUAGCAAACGGUAUAGUUUAGAUUUACGAUAAUAUUACGGCAAUAAUAAUGGUGUUACUCUAUUAAUAGUUUUAAAAGUCAAAGCUGUUUGAAAACUAUUAUUUUAGCAUUGACAGCCGAGCGAAAUUCGUGCCGCUCUAAUGGGGUGAGACGGUUAUCGCCGCCAUUGUUACCGCUAUUAGACGAUAGGGGGCAUCUUAUAACCGUAUUGUUUUAGCCAAUCGCAUUCGAGAUACGGUGCGAGCAUUGCUGGUAACACGGCGUACGCGCGAUGCGGCGGCAAUCGUUAAAAUUAACGAUAUUGGAAUAUAAAUUUUAUUUUAGUUAUAAAAAUUAGGUAGGUGUUACCAGUACUAUAACUGAAGACACAAAAUAAAAAAAUAUUAAUGUACUGGAUACUAGCAAGAUUUGAAGGAUUCAGGUACUAAUUUACUCGCCAGAAUGAAAUAAGGAGAUGAGAUCCUGUUUUCUCUAAUAAUAAGUACGAAUAAACUAUUCUAUAAGUACAGGCUUGGAUAGUACUUAGUAGUGUACUCGCGUACCCGCAUGAUUCGGAUGUACUCCCGGCUCAAAAACCGACAAAUGAGUUUUGGAACGAAGUUCCUUACGGCAGG
rnacentral:misc_RNA from 1 species